rnacentral:lncRNA from 1 species
GGACUGGUCAUGCAGCCGUGUGUCAGGAGUAAUGAUUGUAGAGGGGAGGGGCAUGAAGAGUGCCAUUCUGGAAACAAUGCUGACGAGAGGCCAUAUAUUCCGCGUAACUGAUUGUCACCUUCUCACUGCGGUACCUGGUAAGCUUAAUCGUUUUCCUAAAGUCAUUGGUAAUCGGAGCCUUAAAGCCACCUUUCCUGAGUAAGGAGUCUAUGGUCUGGAUCUGAUCCCAGUCUUGUUCCUUAGCAACCUCAGGUAAAUACGUGGCUGUGCGUUUGACACCUUUCUCAUUGAUGAACUCUAUUCUGAUCCCAUGGAUCCC